GAAGAGACUUGCCCUGUCUCAGCUCUGCUGCCCCCUGCCCCAUACACGUGAUGGAGCAGAAAACGUGCUGUGUGAACCUGUGACUUCAGGGCCUGUUGACGUGGUCGUGCUUGCAUACUCUCUGGACUGGACCUCACUGUGGGAACAACAAGAUCAACAAGAGGAGCAAGAACAACAUCAAGAGUCAGGGCCCGGGGGUCCUGACGGGUACAGGACGGGUACAGACCCACACAGGAAUCCCAGAGUGUGUUCCACAGCAGGACACGCCUGCGCUGAAAGAGUGGGCAGAAAGGAGCUGACCUGGGAUUAUGAUCCAAACUCAGCUGGGCCUCCCCUCCCUGCCCCAGGAUUGUGGAGUGAGAACGUUGCAGCAGGAGAGAACAACGCAGCAAAGCACAGCAGGGGAACCGGAAAUGCUCACCUUUUGACAGGACCAAACCAAUGCACAACUCCUACGUACUGAUGGUGGUCUUACGUUUCCCUAAGUUUCUGCCGACUAAACUGUGCACACGUUCUCAGGACCUCCUGAAGCUGCGUCACAGGCGCUGAUCAAAGAACACAACCAAGAGUUUGGCCUUUUCUUCAGCACUGGGAAUUGUGAUCCAAAGCUUUUCCUGAUGAGGCACAAAGUUGGAGAAACAAAACGCAAACUAAGCAACAAUGAAACAGAACAGAGUGAAUCUGCUGUAGCUCAAGAGAGGACGUAGCUGCCCCCACCCCGCAUCCCUGGGCUCGGGUUUGCCUUGCUGACCUCUGCUGCCACCUGGU
rnacentral:lncRNA from 10 species